ensembl:lncRNA
UUGAGCUGAUAGGUGUUCAGUGCUUCAGAAAAUUAAGACAGUUAUUAGAGUGUCUGGCAGGGAGUAAACAGCAUAAUUUUAGGCACCCCCUUUUACAAUCUUGUAUCUUGGUUUCAAGCUUAUGCUGAAUAUAGGAAGAGAUAUUAAAAUAAACUUGUAGCUUGUAGCUUGAUGGAAAAAUGACUUUUUAAUGAAGAUUUGUAAAUUAAGGAACUUGGAAAGCAUCUUUGGCUGUAGAGGUGAAAUGGAUUCAUAGCAAAAUGUCACUGCCUUAGAAAUGAGUAAUUGUUAUUGUCCUACUGGUUGGUUGGUGGGUGCACAGAAAGAAGUGGCCCUCAUGGGUCCCACGGUGGAAAACUUUUUGCUUGGUGGGAGUUGCAUUACUGAUGCUCUCCUACCGACUCCAUCUGAAGAAAUUCUUCAGCAGCCCGUGUGUACUUUUUGUCAGGAAGGCAGGGAUGAUGACUCCACCACCUCCCUGGACAACCUGUUCCAGUGCCUGACCGCUCUUUCAGAGCAGAAGUUUUUCCUGACACCCAGCCUGAAUCUCCCCCGGUGCAACUUGAGGCCAUUAAAGCCUCCAAGCAUGGCUGAGCUAUGUGUCCCACCACACAAAGAACUACACAAGGGAUUUGGUAGUAUUCUUUCGUGAUUAAUUUUAGUGAAGUGCAACGUGGAGGGAGAAGAAGGAAUUCAGAGCAACAUCUACUUCAGUCACAGUAUCCUGCUUCUCAGUCCUGGUGAAGUUAGGCUGACUGCAGGACUGUUCUGUGUAAAGGCUGCACAGGAUGGGAAUUUGAGCUAACAGUCACAGAAAGCAAGUCAUUGUGUCUAUCUUGUGACUUCUAAUGCAAGUGACACUAAAUAUUUUGCUUUCUAGUUAAUACUAGUAAGUCAAACCCAACUGCUCAGUGAACCGAACCGUGAAAUAAAAGUGGCAAGGAAUAUCCUAAUCAGACACUGACUUAAUAGAGCUAC